AAAAAAAGAAAUAAGCAGCACAAUCUUAUUUGCAAUCCCAGCAAUGAAGACACAUGUACAUCACAAUGAGUGGUCUGUACAGGUGUUGGACGUGAGAUCCUGUUGUGUUAAUAGGACCUCGGUCAUUAUAGUGUGUCACUCCCCAAUAGAGACACAUUUAUUUAACUAUUUCUGUUACAAACAAUAAUAAUUAUGUCUCUCCUCAAUAGAGACACAUUUAUUUUGGCAGGUAUAUUCUGCAGGUUGCAGGUUGCAGGUUGAAAUUUAAUUAUAACUGGAAAACUGCUGGCACUAAAAAUAAUUAAUGACCCAUAUACUCAUCAGGAGUUCUUACAUACUGUAGUUGGCAUCUUUCACAUAGUGAAAACACGUUGAACUUCACCCUUUGGUAAGUAUAUUCCGUCUUUUGUCAUUGUUUUCAUUGCUUAGUUCCAUAAAUGUGUCUCUUUAUAAUAAUGUUUAAUUGCUUUUGUCUAUUCAGAGAUGGAUGUUCAGGAAUCAGAGGUAUUUCAUACAUUAUUUUGAUUAUCACACGAAUGUUGGUGAUUGUUUGAUCUCAAGAACAUUUUGAUGAUGGAACAAACAUUUAUAAGCUUAAUACAAUCAUAACGAUUAUUGUUUUGUUCCUAUAAACAGAAAUGUGAGGUAUUGGACCUAACAGUCAGGUGACUUUACAGUUUAAUUUUGUCAUUUCGUGAGUGCAAGUACAUUGCCUGAGUACAUGUAUGAGCUGAGUUACUGUACAAUUUUUUAAAAUGUUUCCCCUCUCCUCUUUAUUCUCAGCAACGCUGAAUCCCACAGUAGUGGAGAAGAGGUAAAAACAGCAGUAACAGCAGUACCUGUUUGCUUAUGAAUCUGCAGGAAUCGAGAACAUAAAUUUGAAGUGUUGUUUAUUUCCUGCUGCAGGACUUACAAGGUCAAUCCAACGAAGAACAAGAAAAUAUAUAUAAAUGUAUAUUUUCUGAUGCAGUGAAUGCUGCAGGUGGAGCUGUGGGGUGUGACUCAGUGUCAGACCCUCCAAGAAACAGACAACAGGCUAUCUGACCUUGCAGUUGGAAGAGAAAGGAAAGCAGUUUGAACGAAGUGCGAAGUCCAAUAAAGAAGCCGCAGACAUUAAGUAUAAAGUUGGUUGCAGAAGGAAAACGGAUCAUCAAAAAGUGUCAGAAGUUGAUCAAAAUUGCUGACAAGAACAAAGAUGGUUGGCUUGUUGUCCAAGAGUAUGAGUCCAACGAUUUAGCCUCAGACUCUGAAGAUGAGAAGAAGAUUCGCAAAGCCAAAGCUGCCGCUGAGAAGAAGCGAAAAGAAGCAAGGAGUAACACCGGUAACACUUCGAAAAAAUUUAAGACUUCUAGUGAUUUGCAGCUUUUUCGCAGUAAGAUCGCUAUUUAUUUGUACUUUGUGAAGUUCUCGGUCCUUUCGGUUGGACUGUCUGAGCAUCCAACCAUCAAUUUGUUGUAUUUAUUUAUCUAUGUUUUUAAGAGGAAAAUAAUUUAUGUUUGUUUGAACGUAGCGAAUUAGAACGUAAAUGUAUUUUCCGCUGGUACGAAGUUGAUACAGUUCGUUAGCAGUUUAUGUUUUUCGUGUUUUGUUGGAGCACGCUGUUAGGGUGUGUCUCCAGAGAUAUUGUGAUUGGUCGGUGUUUAGUAUUUAAGGCUUCAAAGAGUUACUAGAUUCCUCUCGCUCAUGUUCUCCAUCCUGGCAUUUAUUUCAUUUCUCACCCACCCGCCUGGUCCAACCUGUUUCCUUGUUUUCAUUUUAUUUUCCCAUUAUUUUAGGCCGUUCAGCAUAUGCUUAAAGUGCCAGCCACUGCUACCAUUGCAACCGUCCAGGACACUGGGCGAAGGACUGCAGAGUCCCACUGCCUCUCACCUUAAACAGGAGCAGUGUCUAUUAUUUGAGCAGUGCCUCAGUUGUUAGACCCGGAGCAGGAGGCCUUGCUGAUGGAAGCUCAAAGUGACGGAGGUGAUAACGUUUUGUUUGCACAACUCUCAGAGGUACAAGAAGCUUGUGAGUUUGAAGAAUCUAGUGGGACAGCUUUGGCGCAAGUCAAGGGUAGUCUUAGAAGACACGUAGAGUUUUGGCGCAGCAUAGGUGCCCCUAGAUAUAUAUCAUCAGUUAUGUGCAAGGGUUACUGUUUGUCUUUUCAGCAAACUCCCCCUGGGUUUACCUCCCGAAAUAAUAGAUCAGCUUUGGAUCAUUCAGAGUUUGUUAAUGAAGCUAUUUUGGAGUUUUUACAUUCAGGUAGGGUUAUGGAACUAAAUAGCCCACCUGAUGUUGUCAAUCCUUUGAGUGUGUCCAUCCAGCCCAACGGUAAAAAGAGGCUAAUUCUUGAUCUCCGUCACAUCAACAAUUAUCUUAUUAAGCGUAGAGUCAAGUAUGAAGAUUAGAAGAUUGCCUUAAUCUAUUUCCAAAAGGGGUCUUUUAUGAUGACUUUUGAUCUUAAAAGAGGUUACCAUCAUAUUGAAAUUCAUCCAGAUCAUCUGAGGUUUUUGGCGUUUGC